rfam:Aspergillus flavus NRRL3357 scf_1106287692089 genomic scaffold, whole genome shotgun sequence.
GGUCCUAUGGGGUAGUGGUUAUCCCACCGGAUUUUGAUGAACAAUAUACAUGUCCUGUAUAUGUGUAGGAAGAUCGAAGCUUCCGGUAACGCCGGUUCGAAUCCGGCUAGGACCU